rnacentral:rRNA from 1 species
AGCGGGGGAUAACUAUUGGAAACGAUAGCUAAUACCGCAUAAAAGUCGAUAUCGCAUGAUGUUGAUUUGAAAGGUGCAAUUGCAUCACUAAGAGAUGGACCUGCGUUGUAUUAGCUAGUUGGUGAGGUAACGGCUCACCAAGGCGACGAUACAUAGCCGACCUGAGAGGGUGAUCGGCCACACUGGGACUGAGACACGGCCCAGACUCCUACGGGAGGCAGCAGUAGGGAAUCUUCGGCAAUGGGGGCAACCCUGACCGAGCAACGCCGCGUGAGUGAAGAAGGUUUUCGGAUCGUAAAGCUCUGUUGUAAGAGAAGAACGAGUGUGAGAGUGGAAAGUUCACACUGUGACGGUAACUUACCAGAAAGGGACGGCUAACUACGUGCCAGCAGCCGCGGUAAUACGUAGGUCCCGAGCGUUAUCCGGAUUUAUUGGGCGUAAAGCGAGCGCAGGCGGUUAGAUAAGUCUGAAGUUAAAGGCUGUGGCUUAACCAUAGUACGCUUUGGAAACUGUUUAACUUGAGUGCAGAAGGGGAGAGUGGAAUUCCAUGUGUAGCGGUGAAAUGCGUAGAUAUAUGGAGGAACACCGGUGGCGAAAGCGGCUCUCUGGUCUGUAA